rnacentral:rRNA from 1 species
CCCCCCCAGAGAUAGGUCUUCCCCUUUGGGGGCAGAGUGACAGGUGGUGCAUGGUUGUCGUCAGCUCGUGUCGUGAGAUGUUGGGUUAAGUCCCGCAACGAGCGCAACCCUUGAUUUUAGUUGCCAGCAUUCAGUUGGGCACUCUAAGGUGACUGCCGGUGACAAACCGGAGGAAGGUGGGGAUGACGUCAAAUCAUCAUGCCCCUUAUGACCUGGGCUACACACGUGCUACAAUGGGCAGAACAAAGGGCAGCGAAGCCGCGAGGCUAAGCCAAUCCCACAAAUCUGUUCUCAGUUCGGAUCGCAGUCUGCAACUCGACUGCGUGAAGCUGGAAUCGCUAGUAAUCGCGGAUCAGCAUGCCGCGGUGAAUACGUUCCCGGGCCUUGUACACACCGCCCGUCACACCACGAGAGUUUGUAACACCCGAAGUCGGUGAGGUAACCUUUUGGAGCCAGCCGCCGAAGGUGGACAAAAGAUGU